UUUUUGCUAAACAGUCCCCCCAGCAUCUCCGAUUCUCUCUCUCUCUGUUUCCCUUCAGACCCGGCGGGUUUUCGCCGACCCGACCCGGAGAUUUCUCCGCUCUCCGGCCUCCUCCGGCCAAGGACCCGGACUCCCCUGAGAUCGCCAGCCCACGACAAGCCUCCCUCUGGUGUCGCCGUGCUCUGCCGCUGCCCCGAAAGAUGGAUGGAAGGAGCCACAGUUCCGAUCGGUGACCCGACCGGAAAACCAAUUUUCCGGCAUCCCCUCGGCCGAUCCUUCCCAUUUUCGUGAUCUCCUCCUCCCCCUGAUCAUUCCCAUGAUCUGAUCGUGCGUCCGAGAUUUAAUCCAACUUCAAAGCCUGAUCUAGGACGAUCUAGGCCGAACCGGACUUAGCUCCAGUAUGUUGAUCGUACUUGACGGUUUGAGUUGACGAGCGUUUGG
rnacentral:lncRNA from 1 species